CAGUCGCCGCGGGAAUACGGAGGGUGCAAGCGUUACUCGGAAUUACUGGGCGUAAAGCGUGCGUAGGUGGUGGUUUAAGUCCGUUGUGAAAGCCCUGGGCUCAACCUGGGAAUUGCAGUGGAUACUGGGUCACUAGAGUGUGGUAGAGGAUAGUGGAAUUUCCGGUGUAGCAGUGAAAUGCGUAGAGAUCUGGAGGAAUACCGGUGGCGAAGGCGGCCCCCUGGACAAAGACUGACGCUCAGGUGCGAAAGCGUGGGGAGCAAACAGGAUUAGAUACCCCUGUAGUCCCUGUCUCUUAUAC
rnacentral:rRNA from 1 species